UACGAGUGCCCCAAGCGUUAUCCGGAAUCAUUGGGCGUAAAGGGUGUGUAGGCGGUUGUGUUAGUCUUUUUGUCAAAAUUCUUCGGCUUAACCGGGGGUCCGGCAGAGGAAACGGCACAACUAGAGGAUGCGAGAGGUGAAUGGAACUCAUGGAGUAGGGGUGAAAUCCGUUGAUAUCAUGGGGAACACCGGAAUGCGAAGGCAAUUCACUGGCGCACUCCUGACGCUGAGACACGAAAGCGUAGGUAGCGAAUGGG
rnacentral:rRNA from 1 species